AACACUAGAGUGGGCGCGUGGGCUACAGGUGUAGACCAGGGUAUCAUUUUGUUGUAAAUAUCUGGAACGCACGGCACUAGCGCUCCCUCCCUCCGUGUAUUCCUUCUUCACGAACCCCCGCGUGACCCAGCAGCGUGCCCACUGUCCCGGCACACGGGAACCUGAGGAGCACAGCGGCUAAAGUUGCUGGGCUACGUAUGUAGCCCGCGCGACCGUUCUAGGCAAUAAUGGCGGUGAACGAAGGUCAAAUUCGGAAAUGGCUUAUGGAAGACGAGGAAAAUAGUGAUAACUUGAC